UUCUUUCUCACGACCAACUUCUUCCUCACCAUACCACACCACACUACACUGUCAUCUUCCUCCUUAUCACACCACAUUGUCGUCUUCGUCUUUGUCUUCUUUUUCACUGCCGGAUUCCUCCUCACUUUAAUCAUUGUCACACUUUAUCUUCCCCUUUCUCACUAGUUCCACCCUUUUACCAUCGUUGGGCUUAUGUUUGGCGGAAGUGGAGGAGAAAGGGAUUUACUAUGACACUGGAGAGGAGAAAUGGGUUUGGGGGUGCUAUGAAUGGGAUUUGAAAACCCAAGGUUCAAGCUCCAAUCGUUUCUCAAAGAGUUGUGGUUCUUUCGAGAAGAGGACAUUUGAAGAAAAAUGGAGCAAUUCAUGAAGCAAGACAUUAAAUGCAUAUGCCAACAAGAUGACCAUGAGUAGAUGACCAUGUCAGGCUCUUUUGAUUAAUAAUGAAGAUGAUAAAUCACAUGAAGACUAGUUAUGUUAAACUUGUA